CCCAAACCGCAUCCACAAUUGGCCCAUGAGGUUGUACCUCUUCCUUCGCCUCUACGACCAUAGUUGUCCUGCAGCUUCGCUCAGCUUGUUGUUCCGCUCAAGCGUCUGCAAGAAAUCGAAAUCUAAAUCUGGUUGUCUGGAAUGAAGCAAGUAGCUCACCCUCAGAAGCAAUGGAUAUCCUAUGUGACCCAGAGUGGUAGAUUGAUGAGUGUUAUGAUGACAAAAAUCCAUAAUGUUGGCAAAGUACAUCACUUCAGAGCAAAGCGCCAAAUGGCUGAAAGUUUAGGUCAGACUACCAAAUUUAAGCGUAGAUAUGGGCUGGAGAAUGCUGAGGAGGAGGCUAAAAAGAGACUUUGAGGUGUGGUAUUCAAGAGUUAGAUCUCUCAUGCAUUUAUGUUGCGUUAAAAAAGUUGAACUUUGGUAGUAUUUUGAAGCACAACUGUCUCGUUUAGUUGUUUCUUCGUUUGCCAAAUCCUAAGAAUUAUCAUUGUUGAUUUAUCAUGUAUCCAAGGAAGGAAUGAAGUUCCUUACUGAAAAUUAGUCUCUGUCUCCAACUCUCUUUCAUUACUUUACAUCCCUGAUUCGUUUUCUUUUCCUCUUUUUUUUUUCUUUGAACAUUUUGUUCAAUCAAUCUAUGUAUCUUUGUUUUAUGGACAACAAUGAAGAUGAAUUACUGUUAUCCUUUCAUAAACAUAUCUGCAUUUCCUUUU